rnacentral:lncRNA from 1 species
AAAAAUCAAUAUAAAUUAAAAUUCUAUCGUAUGAAAUAAACUGUCGGCUCAAUCCCUAUAAUAGUUAAAAAUGAUGAAAAAAUUGAAAAGAAAAAGAAUGAUAACGUAUCCAUAUAAAUAGAAAACAUGAACAAAUGACCCAUUUCAUAUAAGACAAUGACACUUUUUUUUUGCGGCCAAUAAAAAAAUGACAUUAUCUUUGUUAUUAUACAUUUAUACAUUUGAAC